GAAUUUGCUACUGGAUUAUGGAUAUGAAUACUCUACAUUUACCAAAGAAGAAGAAGUAUUGAGUCAAUGGGCCCUUCAGGUACUAAGAACCUCUGACAAUCAGGCCCAGUGGAUGGGACUGUGUCCAUCUCAAUGCCCCCCAAAGGGGAGCUGGAAUAAUUUUCAUAUUGGUGGGGGCUGAUGAUGGAAACUAUGUAUCUGGUGUUUGUUAUUACUACUUCAAGCUAGGAGGUGUGGUAGCACCCGUAGUUCUAGCACCACUGUCCCCAAAAAUGUCAGGAAAAAACUCUUCUGCUGCAGGAGAAAGAUGCACAAAAAUUUAAAACCCAAAUAUGUAUGCUUUUGCAAUAUUUUCUUUCCCAGAAAACAAAAAUGAAUAAACACUUAAUUAAAACCAAUCUUUAGGGUACUAAACUGUUUCCACUGGAAAACCACCUCAGCUGACUUCUCCUGACUUGGAGAAAUUAAUUGAAAACAAUUGUGUUUUAGAAAUGUUAUGCUUUCUGAUUUAAUCAGUCACUGUCUGAUGAUGAUGAUGAUGAUGAUUUAUCUUAUUAACUGGCAUGUAACCAGGUUUUUAUAUAAUACGUAUUUCAAGCUGUUUCAAUUGUUUACAGGUUUUGUUUUGUUUUUUUGGUGGGGAGGACAACAUACAGAGCAUUGUUGAUGGGGGAGGCUGGCACUUUAUAAGUGGAAAUAUCUAAUGUUUGCAUUUCAGACAGUGAACUGAUUCUCUUUUAAGAAAAAAACACAAAACACUUACACACACAUCAUAAUUUAAUUUAUUUUAGUGUUCCAGUAAAUUACACUUCAUAUUAUCCAACAAAAGUUGAAUGUUUUAGAGUUACAUAUACUAUAAGAGGGUGAAAACUUUUUUUUUUAUCCUGGCAAAGAUAUGUGAAGUGCAUUUAGUUUUGGUCUGG